rnacentral:lncRNA from 1 species
AGUUCGUCUUUUCCAGAAUGUUGAGACAUGCUGAGUUCUGUCCAAACUCCUGUGUUGCUUUUAUCCCUCAGAGCAUCUCACUGUCCACUGCCAGCCAGCCCUGUUUUACCCUUUCAGCAAGGACACGCACGGGGAAAUUCUAGGCCUGACAGGAUUUUAGGGGAAGGUAUGUGGCCUCGUCACUUUUUUUCUCUUUCUUCUUUGGGUGGCAAGUGGACGUCUCCCUCAGAGCUGAGCCACUGCGAGUAAGCAGCUGUAAGUUAAUAGCUCCUCUGCUGCACUUACACAUCCACCAGGACAAUCAACUUAUACAAACCUUGAGUUCUUUUUUCCAUUAAUUAAAACAAUACUUACCAGUUAGCAUACAAAGAAGGAAACGGAUUUUAUUGUGAUAUAUUUCCAUACAUAUAUAAAGAUUAUUCCUUGUUAUUUUUCUGAAUAAGACCCUGGAGAAUCUGACCCAUAGAUAAGGUGAGCUUCAACUGCAUCCAUGCGCAAACACACAAACACACACACACACACACACACACACACACACACACGCACACACGCACACACGCACACACGCACACGCACACGCAUACGCACAUGCACACUCCCAGAGAGGGCAGGGAGAGAGAAUACAUAGGAUAAAUCAAAGAAAACACGGGGUUUGGAAAGCCUCCUUCAUGGAAAAACAUACAUUGUUAUUACUAACUUUUAUCUUUAUCAUCAUGUGAGAAUAUUCCCACAGGGCAGUUUCUCUCUGAUACCUGCUGCACCUGAACUUCCCCAUCCUACAUCCAUACAUGAAAGACCCAGAGAGGACCAAGUCUAUCAGGUUCUACAUAACACUGACUUUACCCCUACUCUCCUCAUCUGUCCCUUGUUCUCUGCCCAUCCCUUUGUCCUGGGACAAUGUCUCUUGGGGGAGAACAUUGAGGAAAAUCUCCGUUAGCCACUGCUCUGUCUACUGAGGUAUAUGUUCUGGGACAACAGGACAGUGCCUCUAUCCCCAGGGCCUGGAACAGUGCCUGGGAUACAGUGACUGAACCCUUGUAAAUACCAGCUGGAUUUGCAACUGAGAGUUUCUCAGAGAUGAGCCAAUUUUACUUCAAAAGCGACAUCUACUCACCCAGACCCCAUUCGAAGAGAGCUGAGGAGAUCAAAAAUUAUUUUUAAGCAUUUAGAACUAUAAUUUAUUCUAUUCCAACUUCUUCUGAUAUUAUUUGUGAACCCCAUCGCUUCCUAUAACGUCCAAGGUUGCAUUACAAUUUUGCCUUUGUCCAUAAUAUUCUGGGCAGAAUGUUUUCCAUCCUGUGCUCCCAAAACACUUCAUACCUCACUCUACAACAACGACCCAAGUCCUCAGGAGGAACGGCAGCAAAGCAGGCGUGACAACGGGAGCAGGAAGCUGAGAGACUGUACCUUCCACUGCAGUCACAAAUCAGAGUGAGCUGCAAGUGAGGCUGGGCUAUGGACUCUCUCUGCCCUCCUCCAGUCUUGUACUUCCUCCAGCAAAGCCACACUACAACCCAAACAGAAAUAUCAGUCAGGGACCAAGUGUUCAAAUGCCUGAAGCUACUGUGGACAUUUCUCAUUAA